rnacentral:rRNA from 1 species
UACAGAGACUGCAAGCGUUAUUCGGAUUCACUGGGCGUAAAGGGUGCGCAGGCGGCCGGGUGUGUGAGGCGUGAAAUCCCGGGGCUCAACCCCGGAACUGCAUCGGAUACUGCCUUGCUAGAGUACUGGAGAGGGAACUGGAAUUUACGGUGUAGCAGUGAAAUGCGUAGAGAUCGUAAGGAAGGCCAGUGGCGAAGGCGAGUUCCUGGACAGUGACUGACGCUGAGGCACGAAGGCCAGGGGAGCAAACGGG